GAUGAACGCUGGCGGCGUGCCUAAUACAUGCCAGUCGAGCGAACAAAUGAGGAGCUUGCUCCUCUGACGUUAGCGGCGGACGGGUGAGUAACACGUGGAUAACCUACCUAUAAGACUGGGAUAACUUCGGGAAACCGGAGCUAAUACCGGAUAAUAUAUUGAACCGCAUGGUUCAAUAGUGAAAGACGGUUUUGCUGUCACUUAUAGAUGGAUCCGCGCCGCAUUAGCUAGUUGGUAAGGUAACGGCUUACCAAGGCAACGAUGCGUAGCCGACCUGAGAGGGUGAUCGGCCACACUGGAACUGAGACACGGUCCAGACUCCUACGGGAGGCAGCAGUAGGGAAUCUUCCGCAAUGGGCGAAAGCCUGACGGAGCAACGCCGCGUGAGUGAUGAAGGUCUUCGGAUCGUAAAACUCUGUUAUUAGGGAAGAACAAAUGUGUAAGUAACUAUGCACGUCUUGACGGUACCUAAUCAGAAAGCCACGGCUAACUACGUG
rnacentral:rRNA from 1 species